CUAAUUAUAAAAAAUAUGUUGUUUAGUUAAAAAAAUUAGGGUAUACAUACAAUUAAAUGUUACAGCUAAAAAGUAAAUUUCUCUGUUUAAAAUAACAUUUGUUUAGUUUUAACAGGGAUGCUAAGUCCGGAGUAAGAGUCCAUGGAGUUUGUAUUUUAGUCCGGAGUCUCGGGAGUCCAUAAAAAUUUUAGGACUCUGGGACUCCUUUUUUUUUUUAUAAUUAUUAAUAUGCUUAAGAAAUACCUGAUAGUCAAAACACUGUAAAAGAGCAUUUGACCGGAAAGCUCAUCUCCUUCCUUACCAAUUUGAACCAAUACUCAGAUUGAGUAUCGGUUCGAAUGUUAUGCCUUGUUAAGAGGUGUUACCAAGCUCACAUUUUACGUGCAAAAAGGCCACAUGCCUAUGCGUUCAGCAGUUUAACGUUAAGAGAAAACUUUCAUCCUUUAGAAUAUUUAAUUUUUAUUUUGAUAUCAUUUAUGUGACGUUUAUUCAGAAAAUAUGUUGUAAGAAAUUGUUGCAAAAACUUGAAUUAGCAAACUAUAUACGACACUUAUCUAGAAAAUAUGCGGAGCUCCUCAUUACAUUACAUUAGAAAAAGAAAAUUCCAUUUUAAAGUGUUUUGUACCACAGCAAAUUAGUUAGCAUAUUGCAAAAGAUGAGUUUUUAGAAGCCUUAAACCAUUUGGUUUUGUUUGACGGUCUUUCAUUCCAGGUUCAAUUUAUUUUUUCGUUAGUAAUUAUUUUUUCAUUAAAAAAAAAAUCUAAACAAUUAUGUUUUUUUGCCAUUUUUAAAUAAAUAUUUAUCAUUCUAAAAACAAUAUCUAUAGGCAUUUUAUCGGGAACCUAUUUAAAAGCUUUGCUGAAAAGUUUCAUCUCAUUUUGGAUUCAAAAUGAGAAUUCAAAUUAUCAAUCUUGGCAAAGAGUAUAGGGAACAAAUCAAAAACAAAUUAUUGAAAAUGCCAAUUUAUUUGAAAGUUGAUUCGACAUCAAGACAUAUGCGUCACUACCUCGGUAUAAAUGCCCAAUACUCGAACGAUGAUGAAAUUGCUGUGAUCGAUCUUGGCAUCAUUGAUAGGAAGGGAAAACAAACAGUGGAAUACACAAAAAAAAUUAUUGAGAAGUGUUUAGAUAAGUUUGGAAUCAAUAAAAUUAAUAUUUUUGACCUCAGUGUUGACAACGCAGCAGUGAAUAUAAAGUUUGUGUGCAACUUGCAUCAGCGCUGUUGAGGAAAUCGUAGAUGACGAAGACGAUUUUUUUGUAGAAACUGAUGAAUUUGAUGAAGAUGGUUAUUCUAAAGCGGACAAUGCGACAGCAGUUUUGGCAAGUGGAGUUGCCAGUAGUAUGAGUGUUAUACAUCUUCAAAGAUGUGCUGUCCACACUUUACAGCUAGCCGUAAAUGAUGCAUUGAAAAGGCCCACAAUAAAAAAUCUAAUUAACCAUGCCAGAGAUGUUGUCAAAACUGCAAGAAAUUCAAAGUGGAUUGACUUCUUCAGGGACCAGACUCAACAUUUUAUUCCAAUUUUAGAUCAGGCUACCUGUUGAUUUAGCCAGUUCAAUAUGAUUGAGAGGCUAAUUAAGGGUAUGUGGGAGGAAUUGAGAGAUGUAUUGUAUAUGGCACGCGAUCUUACUAUUCGUCUUCAACGUGAAAAUAUUACAGCAGGCGAAUUUCUUUUUGAUUGGAAUUCAAUAAAGUGUGAACUUGACAGGAAGGACAGUGACUUAGCCAAAGAUUUUUUAAAAAGGAAUGGAUAAUAGAGAAAGGGCACUACUCAAAAAUUCGUUGUUUCUUGCAGCAGUUUACGUUGAUAUUAGGCAUGGCUGUAUGCUAACAGUGACUGAAGACAAGAUAACUGCAGCUGAUGGACUUUGGAAAAUACAUUACAAACUGAUUCAACUCGCUAAUGAAAAUAAGAAUAAUGAACUCAAUAAAACCAAAAAAGCAGUAGAGCGCAACUCUUUUUCAGUUUAUGUGUCAGACUCUAGUUCAGAAAAUGAGGAGAAUGCUUUACCAGUUGCAAAACGUUGACCAAAUUUAUUUAAGUUGUGUGAACAGGAGGUUCAAGAAAAUUCUUUAGAAGAACAAAUGCAGGUUCAACUAGAUGUAAUCAAAAAGGAGUUUCGACUAGCUCUAAAAACAAUUCCGGAAAUCCCUUCAAUGUUUAAAAACAAAUCAUCCAACUUAGGCGAGUUUUUAAAACUUAACCCAUUAAAAUCAUUUGAGCAGUUCCCUGAAGUUGUACGGGAUGCCUGCCAUGUUGCUUUGUUGCUACCCAUAUCCCAAGUCAGUGUCAAGCGUCUGUUUUCAGUCUUAAAGCACAUGACACCAGACCAUUGUAGUCGAUUUACAUCUGAGUUAAUUGAUAAUAUGCUUUUUUUACGAACAAACAAGUUUUUUAUUUGAACAUUUUGAUGAUGUAGAUAUUGUAAUAUUUUGUCCUUGUAACUUUAUAGUUUAUAGCGCGUAUUUAAUGUAAAUAAACAUUUAAAUCUUUUUAUAA
rnacentral:lncRNA from 1 species